UACAGAGGGUGCAAACGUUGUUCGGAAUUACUGGGCGUAAAGCGCAUGUAGGCGGCAGCGCAAGUCGGGCGUGAAAUCCCACGGCUCAACCGUGGAAGUGCACUCGAAACUGCGCAGCUAGAGUCCUGGAGAGGAAGGUGGAAUGCUUGGUGUAGAGGUGAAAUUCGUAGAUAUCAAGCGGAACACCGGUGGCGAAGGCGGCCUUCUGGACAGUGACUGACGCUGAGAUGCGAAAGCGUGGGGAGCAAACAGG
rnacentral:rRNA from 1 species